GGCGUCGUGGCGCUGUGGUAAGCACUGUUGCCUUGCAUGAAGAAGGUUCUGGGUUCAAGAUCCAGUGGCCCA